rnacentral:rRNA from 1 species
AGGGAAUCUUCCACAAUGGACGCAAGUCUGAUGGAGCAACGCCGCGUGAGUGAAGAAGGUCUUCGGAUCGUAAAGCUCUGUUGUUGGUGAAGAAGGAUAGAGGCAGUAACUGGUCUUUAUUUGACGGUAAUCAACCAGAAAGUCACGGCUAACUACGUGCCAGCAGCCGCGGUAAUACGUAGGUGGCAAGCGUUGUCCGGAUUUAUUGGGCGUAAAGCGAGCGCAGGCGGAAUGAUAAGUCUGAUGUGAAAGCCCACGGCUCAACCGUGGAACUGCAUCGGAAACUGUCAUUCUUGAGUGCAGAAGAGGAGAGUGGAACUCCAUGUGUAGCGGUGGAAUGCGUAGAUAUAUGGAAGAACACCAGUGGCGAAGGCGGCUCUCUGGUCUGCAACUGACGCUGAGGCUCGAAAGCAUGGGUAGCGAACAGGAUUAGAUACCCUGGUAGUCCAUGCCGUAAACGAUGAGCGCUAGGUGUUGGGGACUUUCCGGUCCUCAGUGCCGCAGCAAACGCAUUAAGCGCUCCGCCUGGGGAGUACGACCGCAAGG